CUUUCCCAUUUCAAUUUGAUUUAGCCUUUUCUUCCUCUCUGCUAUCUCGAUCUGCUCCGUCUCGAUCUCUCACGCUCGGUCUCCAUUACUUUAGCUCAUCGUAGGCUCUCUCUCUCUCCCAUCCCUCUCUCUCCACCACCAUUUCUCAGCUGAAGCACUUCUUCCACCUGCGUUUCAGAGUACCUCAAUUUCAUAUUCUCUCUCUUCCCCUCACGGAUCCUACUCAUCCUCUCUCUCUUGGUGUCUAUUAUAUCCAUUGACUUCAAAGCCUCGAUUGCGAUCGUUCCACAUUUCAGGUCGAGGUUGGAGGAUUUGGAUCUUUGAUUUCAACCGCUGAAUUCAAAAAAGGUGUACGUCAGUUCCAGGCUUGAGCUUGUUCGUGCUGAGCAGAGACGGUCACUCAUUCUUCCGACGACAUUUGGGCCUGGGCCUGAUCAACCCGUAUCUCGGAUCCGAGGGGUAUCACAGAAGAUCCGAGGGGUAUCAUACAUGGUUCAAGUUGAAACCUUAGAAGGAAUCUAUAGCAAGAAGGAAGGAGGAAGAAGAUGGUGGCCGAAAUAAAAGGAACUGCCGAGAACAACAUGGGACACUUGGCAGCAUCGGAUUAGGCCAAAUGGAAGUUGUUGUAGUCGCCACAUCUGAGUUGCUGCAUGCAAGGAAGUCUAUAAAUAGUGCACUAAGGAUUAACUUGCAAACUCUGCCUGCUCAACCCAAACAACACAUCAAUACAGCAUCUUUGCUACCUUUCAUUUCCGCAAUGAAUUUACAUUGUGUCUAAACCUAGCACCUUGCUAGUUCAUGUAUUUCCAUUCCAACAAUGAAUUUACAUUUCUUUUAAGUUGAGUUCAACACUUUGCUAUUC